GCAAGCUUUACAAGAGCCUAUAACAGAAAAAGAGUUAUUACAAGCUGUUAAAACUAUGCCACAGGGAAGAUCACCGGGUCCAGGUGGGUAUGGAGCUUUAUAUUGUAAAUCCUUGUGUAGAAGUCAAUGGAGCAAAUAUAAGAGAAAAAACAAAAUGGGACAGUGAUACAUAUAUAGUUUAGUAUAUCUAAAAAAAAGCAGAGACAAAAUACAAAGAAAAUACUCCAGAUCAUAGCGUAUGGAUGGUACAAUCCCUGUCUGUGGAUGUAUGGAUGGUCCUGAUCCUCUCCGGUAUCGUAUCUUUAUACCAAUAACCCACGUGCUAUGCGGAGAAUGUAAAAGAACAAGGAUAGUGCUCUCUGUAUUAUUAAAACAAAUAAAAUAAGAAAGGAGACAUAUUCACAAUGGAUGAGCAGAUAGGGAUUGCUCAGUCCUUAAC